rnacentral:lncRNA from 1 species
UCUACCCUCAGCUAUAAGCCACCAACACUGUAUACGUAUACAUUUUAUUUCUGUCUGGUGUGCUCAGCUGUUGGAUGUCAGAGCUCUGGCCAUGUGUGUUCACACACUGCCCUGUCACUUGUCACUUAUCCUCAGCUCCUGCCCCAUUCUUCACUCUAAUGGCAUGCUGCUGCUGUUUAGGGAAGUCAUAACCCAACUGGAGCUCACCAUGUUUAGCCACUUGGACUGCAGAUUGCC